rnacentral:tRNA from 1 species
CGGGGCGUAGCGCAGUCUGGUAGCGCACUUGAAUGGGGUUCAAGUGGUCGUGAGUUCGAAUCUCACCGCCCCGA